GAUGAAGAACGUAGCGAAAUGCGAUAAGUAAUGUGAAUUGCAGAGUUCAGUGAAUCAUCGAAUCUUUGAACGCACAUGGCGCCUUCCAGUAUCCUGGGAGGCAUGCCUGUCCGAGCGUCGUUUCAACCCUCGAGCCCCCGUGGCCCGGCGUUGGGGAUCUGCCACGGCAGGCCCCUAAAACCAGUGGCGGACCCGAAGGCCCUCUCCUUUGCGCAGUAGCAUCAGCCUCGCAUUGGGAUCCCUCGGCGUCCUGCCUCUAAACCCCCCACAAGUCCGCUCCGGCGGCACCAAGGUUGACCUCGGAUCAGGUAGGAAUACCCGCUGAACUUAAGCAUAUCAAUAAGCGGAGGA
rnacentral:misc_RNA from 1 species